AGAAUCCUAAGCAGGCUCCACCCUCAGUGCGGAGCCUGACUCGGGACUCGAUCUCACAACGCUGGGAUCGUGACCUGAGCCGAUACCAAGAGUCUGCCCCUGUUCACCUCCACUUCUAAGCAAAGGUCAAGUGUUAUCCCGUGCACCUUCUACGGAGAACUUAAAGUAUAGAGGGAAAUGCAAUUAAAAGGUAACACAAAAUCCACUUACAUAAGGUACAAAAACAUGCAAACAAAACAACUUUCAGAAGACAGCCCCCUGGCUGGAAAGGGCCCCGGGGAGGCCACGGGGUCCCGCGUGCUCCGGUUUUGAUCUGGGCUCUGAUCACAAAGGGACGCUCCGUGCGAAAGGUCCCCAAGCUGAUGCGCUCAGUACACUUUCCCGUGUGCACGUGACGCCCCGUAAAGAGUGAAAGCUGAAAGCAGUGUUCACGGAAGGAAGGCUGGGUCGUAAGCGGGGAGACUCUGCGGGCGUCUGCCCGUGCCGUGUCUCCCGGCCUCCAGACGCUUCCGCGGAGGGCGCAGGGCAGGGGGGUGCCCGACUGUGGGUCCCUGCUGCGUCGGAAAGCCUGCAUUUCACAGAACCCAGACCGCAGCGGUGCCACCUUCUCUCAGGGCCGGGGCUCAGGGCCAGGACAGCCCAGCAAACUGUCCCUUCGAAAGCAGGCGUCUCGGGCAGGACGACCCGCGCAAAGCGCCCAGCCUGGCUGGCUGGAGAACAGUGUCUGGCCUCUUGACGGCUUCCACCGCCUUUCCCAUUUUCACGCGCGUUGCCCUUUAACCCUGGGAAACCUGGCAGCACGGCAGGGUUUUCACCAAAAAGGCAUCUCGGCGACUCUGCAGGAGCCCUGGAGGGGCCGAGGGGCAGAGCAGGUGUGGCGUCCUGAGGCCGCAUGGGGGCAAGGGACGACGCUGUGUGGGGCAGGACUCUGAGUUAAAGUCAGAGAGACGAUGGAUGGAUGGCACAGACAGAGAGAGACAUUGAGAGGCAGGGCCCGGCUCGAAGAGAAAUUUAUCAUCGCCCUGCAGACGAGUCAGAGACUCAGGCAGCGUUUGGUGAUGGCCGUUACUGGGAGAGCCGCCCCCGGACACUUCCACACGUUCCCCAGGCCCAGAGCGAGACAGGCCCAGGCCCAGGAACCGUGGGCUCCGAGACGGAGCAACAAACGACUGGCCCAGCUACUUGUGGCGCUCUCUCUGGUGCCCGAGUCCCUUCUCCCGGCCGGUUCCGGUCACCAGCCGCAGC